rnacentral:lncRNA from 1 species
CGGCGCCGGCGCGCAGGUUGAGACCUGCCGGUGUUGUCUGGUUAGCGACCUGUGCUGACGAGCAUGGCGUAGCAGGCAGUCGGCUGCAGCGGCAGGGGUGUUUUCCUUGCUGUCUGGUUGGCCUGCUGCCUGCUGCACUAGCUGGGCGCGACUGGGCACAUAUGGCGGGCGGUGCCUGUACAAACCGACCCCGGCUAUGUCCGGGAGAUGAGGUUGUUCGGCCUCAGAGAGUGGAGGGGCUCAGCCCCUUUUCCCGUGACCGGGGAACACUUGUCUUGUCAAACCCUAAAACGUAUAUGUCUCGCCAGGCCACCCUUGGAUUGAGCGAAGAGCAGACGGAAGUAUGAAGCUGAACAGACCACGAAGUGUCAUAAUGGAAGAGGAGGUGGAGUGAUGGCACCUAGUAACAUAUUCGGUAUGGCGGGAGGAGCGUCCUAUGGGAGCAAGCCUACUAGAGCUAGAGUAGGCCGACGGCGCUGCAGGCGGCACGCCCCUGGGGUCCAGAGCAGGGUGUUCGUUCUCCACGUCACUGGCUUGUGAACUGCGUCAGCAGGUCCCUCUUGAAACAAUGCAAUCUUGGGAGGGUGUGGUGGCUGUGGCGCACGCAUACCGGGGGAUGAGGCAUCGUGGAGUGCGUGCAUAAGGGGAGGGGGCAUUGAUUCAAUUGUUGCUGUGUUUCACGGUAUGUUGUGUUGGACCGGGGCGGCCAGUGCAGCGCGGCUGGUGGUCGGGUGUUCACUGCCGCACGCAUGCGAGGGUCGGGGUUGUAGGCAGCGCACCACGCCGGCAACUUACUCAUUUUACCAGCGCUCGUAUCUUCCUUCGUUCGGAACGAAAUUUGCCAGGAAAGGCCUCUGGCGGAAGGAAUUUUUGGGCUGAGCCCCCUGAGGGUGCGAUCCAGGGGGGGCGAAGCCCCCCAGGAUUGCCCCUGUCUUGCGUCUGCAAAAAGUACCAUACUGGAACAAACCGCGGCCUGCAGCCCUGCGACCUGCUGGCGGCGGUGGCGGUGCAGGGCCUGGCGGCGGCGGUGGCGGCGGGGGUGGCACCGCGCCUACCGGCGGCAACGGCAGCGGCCACGGCGUUGGGCCCGGUGGUGGCGGCGGCACGGGCGGCCCUGGGCCCAGCGGCAGUGGCGGCGCGCAUGUUCGGAGCAGAGGGGGCGGGCAAGGCCACGUGGAGGAGGACGCCGCAGCGCCGCCUUCAAAGCGGCGCCGGCGCGCAGGUUGAGACCUGCCGGUGUUGUCUGGUUAGCGACCUGUGCUGACGAGCAUGGCGUAGCGGGCAGUCGGCUGCAGCGGCAGGGGUGUUGAGAGGUGGAGGUUUUCCUUGCUGCCUGCUGCCUGCCGCACUAGUGCUUGAUAGCUGAGCGCGACUGGGCACAUAUGGCGGGCGGUGCCUGCACAAACCGACCCCGGCUAUGUCCGGGAGAUGAGGCUAGUAUCGGAACCUUCGACCUCAGACGGAGGACGUGGCGGGGGCUCAGCCCACUUUUCCCUUGCGAGGGAAAGCCUGGUUUGGCUAUGUGCCUGUGGAAACCGACCCCUGCUAUGUCCGGGCAAUGAGGUUGUUCGGCCUCAGACUGCGGAGGGGCUCAGCCCCUUUUCCCAUGACCGGGGAACACUUGUCU